rnacentral:rRNA from 1 species
GACGAACGCUGGCGGCGUGCUUAACACAUGCAAGUCGAACGGAAAGGCCCUGCUUUUGUGGGGUGCUCGAGUGGCGAACGGGUGAGUAACACGUGAGUAACCUGCCCUUGACUUUGGGAUAACUUCAGGAAACUGGGGCUAAUACCGGAUAGGAGCUCCUGCUGCAUGGGGGGGGUUGGAAAGUUUCGGCGGUUGGGGAUGGACUCGCGGCUUAUCAGCUUGUUGGUGGGGUAGUGGCUUACCAAGGCCUUGACGGGUAGCCGGCCUGAGAGGGUGACCGGCCACAUUGGGACUGCGAUACGGCCCAGACGCCUACGUGAGGCAGCAGUGGGGAAUAUUGCACAAUGGGCGGAAGCCUGAUGCAGCAACGCCGCGUGCGGGAUGACGGCCUUCGGGUUGUAAACCGCUUUCGCCUGUGACGAAGCGUGAGUGACGGUAAUGGGUAAAGAAGCACCGGCUAACUACGUG